UUUCCGUAGGUGAACCUGCGGAAGGAUCAUUAAUGAUGCCCUCGACGCCUUUACCGGCUGGUAGGGUUUGGACGGUCUCUUUCGGGAGCCGGCCUAAUCUCACACACCGUGAACACUGGCUUUGGCCAACACACAAACUAUUAGUAAUGAAUGUCAUAUCAUAACAAACAUAAAACUUUUAACAACGGAUCUCUUGGCUCUC
rnacentral:misc_RNA from 1 species